rnacentral:rRNA from 1 species
GGCGGCAUGCCUAACACAUGCAAGUCGAACGAAGGCUUCGGCCUUAGUGGCGCACGGGUGCGUAACGCGUGGGAAUCUACCCUUCGGUUCGGAAUAACAGAGAGAAAUUUCUGCUAAUACCGGAUGAUGACGUAAGUCCAAAGAUUUAUCGCCGAGGGAUGAGCCCGCGUAGGAUUAGCUAGUUGGUGUGGUAAAGGCGCACCAAGGCGACGAUCCUUAGCUGGUCUGAGAGGAUGAUCAGCCACACUGGGACUGAGACACGGCCCAGACUCCUACGGGAGGCAGCAGUGGGGAAUAUUGGACAAUGGGCGAAAGCCUGAUCCAGCAAUGCCGCGUGAGUGAUGAAGGCCUUAGGGUUGUAAAGCUCUUUUACCCGGGAUGAUAAUGACAGUACCGGGAGAAUAAGCUCCGGCUAACUCCGUGCCAGCAGCCGCGGUAAUACGGAGGGAGCUAGCGUUAUUCGGAAUUACUGGGCGUAAAGCGCACGUA